UGCUUUGGGGGAAUAAUUAAGUUUAAUAGGAAUAGGUCUGGAGGGUUUUCAAUGCCAAGACCACAGGUGCGGGGUGGCAUGAUGAAUGAUUUGCCUGAUUUUUGCCAAGCUCAAGGGCUCUUCUCUUGGACUUUCAAGCAGAUAGAAAAUAUUGUCAUUUCUUUUAAUUCACAGCAUUACUUUCAAGCCGAACAAAGGCCAGGGCCGGGGGGAGGCGGGGGAAGGGCUCGGCUGUAAUGAAGCGCCUCUAAGGCGGAGGUGCUGCCGUGGAGGCUGAGGCGGCGGCGGAGCGCGCUGCUGCGUUUGUGCGCAAGUGACUCUCCUGUGCCACACACAAAAGGCCUCCCUCUCCCCACCUUCUGCCGCCUUUCAGCCCUCCGGCUCCUGCCGAGCCCGCUCCUGGGACUCUGGGGGGGAUCCUGGCUGCAUCCCCAGGGCAGCCUGGCCUUUGGGACAUCCGCCGCUGCCAGGGCAAACCUCGCCAAACUUUCCCCAAACUCCGCAGGCCGGGGAGAGACCCUGGCCGGAGGCGCGCAUGCGCCCCGCCCGCUGCUCCGCGUUCCCAGGGUUCCGGAGAGCCGGGGUGGAGUGUGUAGAAGUGCCUAAUAACCAUGGCUAGUGCGCGCUCCCCAAUGGCGAGGGUAUGACAGGGACAGCUGGCUCAGUUUUCAGUGUGAAAACACCCCCUCGGUGGACCAAACACAACGACACUGACCUUUCUUCGGGGGGAACCAGGGAUGUGCCUUUGACUGAAUUAGCCAUAAAGACGUCUUGCUAUGACUUUUGUUCCCCACGAAAGCAAAGAAAUAUUGCGUUUAAUAUGAGAAGUACUGUUCACAGCUUUUCCGUGCCCCUUAAGAAAUAUUACAGUGCUGAUUUACUGGCCUGUUUCCAAAGUUCUCUCUUCGCAACAGCAAAUUUAUCAAUCUUUUCAUCUGACAAUACUUUGAAAUAUAUCAUUGUCAUCUAGAGUUGUUUGAUAGAUUAUCUGCAGGCACACAGCCUUUUUCAAGGUCAAGUUGAAGAUUCUUGUUUGCUGUUUAACUGGGUUGUUUCAAAACUCAGAACAAUGCCUGCCUGUUAAAUUUUCACUUGUUCUCAUGGGGCAUUCGAAAGCAAGUUUUCCUAUUGACCGGGUCUCUGGACAUUUCAUCCUCUUGAGCUAAAUUCAGCAAAC
rnacentral:lncRNA from 1 species